UACGAAGGGGGCUAGCGUUGCUCGGAAUUACUGGGCGUAAAGCGCACGUAGGCGGCUCUUUAAGUCAGAGGUGAAAUCCUGGGGCUCAACCCCAGAACUGCCUUUGAUACUGAGGAGCUUGAGUCCGGGAGAGGUGAGUGGAACUGCGAGUGUAGAGGUGAAAUUCGUAGAUAUUCGCAAGAACACCAGUGGCGAAGGCGGCUCACUGGCCCGGUACUGACGCUGAGGUGCGAAAGCGUGGGGAGCAAACAGG
rnacentral:rRNA from 1 species